rnacentral:rRNA from 1 species
UACGUAGGGGGCGAGCGUUGUCCGGAUUUAUUGGGCGUAAAGAGCUCGUAGGCGGCUGGUCAAGUCGGGUGUGAAAUCCCAAGGCUUAACUUUGGGUCUGCAUUCGAUACUGGUCGGCUUGAGUCUGGUAGGGGGACCUGGAAUUCCUGGUGUAGCGGUGGAAUGCGCAGAUAUCAGGAGGAACACCGGUGGCGAAGGCGGGGUCCUGGGCCAGUACUGACGCUGAGGAGCGAAAGCGUGGGGAGCAAACAGGAUUAGAAACCCCCGUAGUCC